ACGCGGAAUAUGGCGCGUUCUUAGGAGUGGUGUUUGGCAUCAGUAGGCGUCCGGGUCUGGACUGUCAGCUUGGGCUGCGGGGUUAGCCUACUCCACUUUGUGUUGAAAAGUGGGAACGCGAGCAACGGGCUAUUCUGGACUGGAGUGAACGGUUUCCAUGGAUCUCAAUAGUGCCAGCACUGUAGUUCUUCAGGUCUUAACACAGGCCACCAGUCAGGAUACUGCUGUUUUAAAACCAGCCGAGGAGCAAUUGAAACAGUGGGAGACACAGCCAGGUUUCUAUUCCGUAUUGCUGAAUAUUUUCACCAACCACACUCUUGAUAUAAAUGUAAGGUGGCUUGCUGUUCUAUACUUUAAGCAUGGGAUUGAUCGUUAUUGGAGACGUGCAGCACCUCAGUA